UAGAAAGUAGUAUAAUUGGUAGUACGUGAAGUUUUGGGCUUUUCGGCGUGGGUUCAAUGCCCAUUUUUCUAG
rnacentral:tRNA from 1 species